rnacentral:rRNA from 1 species
GAUGAACGCUGGCGGCGUGCUUAACACAUGCAAGUCGAGCGAGAAGUUUUGAAAAGAUUCUUCGGAUGAAAUUUAAAAUGGAAAGCGGCGGACGGGUGAGUAACGCGUAGGCAACCUGCCCCAUACAAAGGGAUAGCAUUUGGAAACGAAUAUUAAUACCUUAUGAAACUUAACUAGUGCAUGCUAGGUAGGUCAAAGCUUUAUCGGUAUGGGAUGGGCCUGCGUCUGAUUAGCUAGUUGGUGAGGUAACGGCUCACCAAGGCGACGAUCAGUAGCCGACCUGAGAGGGUGAACGGCCACAUUGGAACGGAGACACGGUCCAAACUCCUACGGGAGGCAGCAGUGGGGAAUAGUGCACAAUGGGGGAAACCCUGAUGCAGCAACGCCGCGUGAACGAUGAAGGCCUUUGGGUCGUAAAGUUCUGUUCUAGGUGAUGAAAACUGACAGUAACCUAGGAGAAAGCCCCGGCUAACUCCGUG